rnacentral:rRNA from 1 species
UACGGAGGGGGGCUAGCGUUGUUCGGAAUCAUUGGGCGUAAAGGGCGCGUAGGCGGCCGAUCAAGUCGGAGGUGAAAUCCCCUCGGCUCAACUGAGGAAUUGCCUUCGAUACUGUUCGGCUUGAGUCCUGGGAGAGGGUAGCGGAAUUCCCGGUGUAGCGGUGAAAUGCGUAGAGACCGGGAAGAACACCAGUGGCGAAGGCGGCUACCUGGACAGGUACUGACGCUGAAGCGCGAAAGCUAGGGGAGCAAACAGG